CUGGAGAUCCCUGUGUACCUGAGGCUUCCUGAAGAAUCAGCACAUGCACAAAUCAGUGUGGUCAAAGAGUAGGCAUCACAGUAGAGUGUUGGAUACCUCUGUCAUCAGCUCUGCCACCACAAAGCUUUUGAAAACUUCAGGGAUCUGUGGAUCAUGAACAAGAAAUGCUUCUUUGGGGUAUAACGUGUAUGAGACAAGUAGACUAUGGUUCUACAUAUGGAUUUAUGAACUCACUACUGGCUGAGUAAAACUGAAUGAAUGGGAGUGAAGAGAAUUUUUUUGCCUUCAUCGGCCACUCAGAAGAUCCCUAAAACCUGCUGACUGUCUGUGAGAGCACUCCGUAGCCAUGGACAGGCAGAGAGGCCUUUAAUAUUUCUGUACCAAAAGGAAUUACCAGCUCGUGCAUUAGGUGUCACUGCUGCCUAAUGACUUGAGAUGGACCUUCCUGUGUGACGAAUGGAGACGGAGCACAGUAGCACAAGAAGGAGGAUGCUACAUGCAGGCUGUGGACAGCAUUUUUCCUUUUUUGCUCUUCCUGCUCCUCUCUGCAGCUCUUCCUGGAGCCAGAUUUACUUGCAUCAGAUUGGCCAUUUUUUUUCAGUUAAUGGCCUUGAGCUAAGUGCGUCCCAGGUGUGAUGCUUAAAAAAGUUUCGGAUACACAGAGCCUCAUUGCCACGGCCUUGGAGGUCUGUGCAGUGCUGCAUGACCACCUGAGAGUUUUUGCAAGAGGGACAGCCCCCUACAAGUCAGAAGUUAUUGCAUCCCUACCAAGGAGGCUUACACUAAAUAAAUCACACUAACACAGUUAACUGAUGAGAACAGCAUUCAGCUCCAAAAGAAAAAGGAUGAGGCAAAAAGGGUCAGCCAUAUGUAGGAAAGCAUAGCAUUAGAAGGUGCUUUCCUUAGUGCCAAAAACAUUUCAUUAGCUUCCCAUGAUUCCUCUGGAGCUCUGUUUUUCCAACCCCUACUUGUUCUCUGAUUACAGGUACAUCUGCCGUGUGAUUGAGGCUGUACAGUGUUCAGUGUUUCUGCACAAGUCUUUAAUGGAGCUGGCUUUGAGAAGCCCAUUUCUCAGCACGCUGCUGGCUAACCAGGGGCUCAACCCUGGGGCUGGGUGGGCUUCUAAAGGUAACUCAAUACAAGGAAUAGCAGCUGACCAUCAGCAUGUCUGCUAGGAUGUCUUCACUUAACUGUAGCAAAGGCAGCUUCAGUAGGUAACAACAGUUCAAUUCAGUGAAAGGGCAAAAAAUGGAAUGUGUGUGUUUAAAAACAAAAGAUGUAUGUAUAAAUAUAAUUUCUUUAUUGAAGUUAAAUCAAAGGACACUGAACAUUUUGGCCCAGAAAAGUAUAAUUAAACAGUGCCUUUAAUCAUCUGAUAUAAUUCCUCACUUGAUUUCUCGUUUUCUUUCCUUCAUGAACAUGUGUUUCACAGACUCAGCCCUUAAAG